AUUGAACGCUGGCGGCAGGCCUAACACAUGCAAGUCGAACGAGAGGCGGACGGGUGGGUGAUGGCUGGGAAACUGCCCGAUGGAGGGGGAUAACUACUGGAAACGGUAGCUACUACCGCAUACCAUCGGAUGUGCCCAGAUGGGAUUAGCUAGUAGGUGGGGUAACGGCACACCUAGGAGACGAUCCCUAGCUGGUCUGAGAGGAUGACGAGCCACACUGGAACUGAGACACGGUCCAGACUCCUACGGGAGGCAGCAGUGGGGAAUAUUGCGCAAUGGGCGAAAGCCUGAUGAAGCCAUGCCGCGUGAAUGAAGAAGGUCUUCGGGUUGUAAAGCACUUUCAGCGAGGAGGCGUUACUCGAAGAAGAAGCACCGGCUAACUCCGUGCCAGGAGCCGCGGUAAUAC
rnacentral:rRNA from 1 species